GACUGGAAAAUCCUGGAGCACUCCUUGCUUGACAGAAGAUUGCACUUCCUCCAUAAUGCCAGUUAACCAUGGGUCGUCCUGCUCAUGCAAUCCAACAAGUACUUUGGAUUAAGAUAAAGCUGAUUCACACAUGACGCAGGAGGUUCCAAGAAUCUGGUGGACAUGGAUGCAGAGUUUCUUGGGACAACCGGAAGGACAUUGUAUGUAGCCAGGCUUGUGUGGGGGGCUCAAUGCUAAUACGGAGCCCUCGCAGAGACCCCCGUGCUCACGCUGGUCAACACCGAGGCCAGCAACCUGUCCAGUCUUGUGGCUAGGAUGCGAGCACAGUGGCUUCAACCCGAGCUUCAACGAGAGUCUACAUCUUGGUAGGAUCAUUGGUUCUGAGUCUUUUCUUUACCUUUGCAGCCUUAAGGAAUUGACAUAAUUUGUUCACCAAGAGCAGAGAUAGCUAGAGAAUUGGGUCAUUUUAACCACUCCCUUGUGAGAGACUGGUUUUUCAGCCUGUCUGAAGAUUUGGUCUUUUGCGGGGUGAGGGGGGUGUUCUUGUUGUGGUCAUUUGCCUCUGCCCUUAGAGCCAGU